UAAGGAAUAUUGGACAAUGGAGGGAACUCUGAUCCAGCCAUGCCGCGUGAAGGAUGACUGCGCUAUGCGUUGUAAACUUCUUUUGAAUGGGAAGAAAACGGGAGAUGCGUCUCUUGCUGACGGUACCAUUAGAAUAAGCACCGGCUAACUCCGUGCCAGCAGCCGCGGUAAUACGGAGGGUGCGAGCGUUAUCCGGAAUCACUGGGUUUAAAGGGUGCGUAGGCGGCUUAAUAAGUCAGCCGUGAAAUGUUUGGGCUUAACCGAGGCAUUGCGGAUGAUACUGUUGAGCUUGAAUCGAGAUGAGGUAGCCAGAAUGUGGCAUGUAGCGGUGAAAUGCUUAGAUAUGCCAUAGAACACCGAUUGCGAAGGCAGGUUACUGGACUUGAAUUGACGCUGAGGCACGAAAGCGUGGGGAUCAAACAGG
rnacentral:rRNA from 1 species